UACGGGGGGGGCAAGCGUUGUUCGGAAUUACUGGGCGUAAAGGGCUCGUAGGCGGCCAACUAAGUCAGACGUGAAAUCCCUCGGCUUAACCGGGGAACUGCAUCUGAUACUGGAUGGCUUGAGAUUGGGAGAGGGAUGCGGAAUUCCAGGUGUAGCGGUGAAAUGCGUUGAUAUCGGAAGGAACGCCGGUGGCGAAAGCGGCGUGCUGGCCCUCUUCUGACGCUGAGGCGCGAAAGCCAGGGGAGCGAACGGG
rnacentral:rRNA from 1 species